rnacentral:tRNA from 1 species
GGUUCCGUAGCUCAGUGGCAGUAGCCCUGGCCUCAUAAGCCAGUCGUCGCUGGUUCGAUCCCAGCCGGAACUACCA